ACCCGUCACGAAAACCGAGACGGCACGCAGUUCUUCCGAGACACUCCGCUGACAAGAGCUAGACUUCGACAGCAGAAGCCUCUCGAACACGUCAACCGCUGCGAACCCGCCACAUCCUAGAUACCGCUCCGUCGACUCGUGGAUACGUGUAGUCGACAUCUUCCUAACCGUUCCAUCCACUCGGGGAUUCGUGCAAUCCUCCAUCGGUUCAGACACGACUAGAAUUAAGCAGUCUUAUACACCGAAUCUCGUAUGAUUCGGUGUUGUUUUUGCGGUUGAUCGGCGCUAUGUUUACAUUUUUCUCGUGACUCUUACGCCUUUGGCAUAUAACAUCACGCUUACGGUCGCACUUUGCCUUCAAGUAAACCGGUAGUUCGCACACAUGCCUGUCUAACAAAAGACAACCGUGAGAUCCUCUGUUGUCGUCCCUCCAUAAAUUAUUGUUUGAAAUACUGCUGCUAGACGGCAACCACUUCCACGUGUAGUCGCUCGCGUAACCGCCAAUCCAUGCAUUCUCAAUCGUUUCUGAAAUUAGCCGGUAUUACGACCUCCAGAUACACAAGUUUUUUAACGUAAAUAUCAAUCGACAAGACGUCUAAUAUUGCAAAUCAAAGCGGCCACGUCGUAGACACAACUAUUCGGAAAAUUUUGCUAAAUUUUCCAAAAAUCACGCAUUGUCUCGUUUCAUGAAAUACCAGGUCGAGUUUGUAUCAUGAGAAACGCCAAGGACUGAGCCUCUGCCGUUGUCUUGACUUCAGCAAUCUGCAAGCCUUCCUUGCGACAGUUGAUCACGGCUUCCGACCAGCUAAAUGUUGCAAAAGUAAUUGAACCAUUUUGGUCAAACCAAAUUGGUAUCGUUUAUGGUUCAUAUUAAAAAAAAAAAUAAAAGAAAUUAUCGUUACCUCUUUGA